UUUUCCCUAGGGUCAAUUGUCACUGACUACUUUUUGCAAGACUUGAAUUAUUUACCAUAAGGUUUCAAUCAAUCAGUUUUAUUUAUUGAGUACUUACAGUGUGUGAAGCACUCUGCUAAGUGCUUGGGAGAAUCAGCAGUUUAGUACAGUGCCUAGAAUAUAGUGUAGAAUAAGCGCUUAACAAACACCAUCAUUAUUAUUACUACUACAAUGUGACAGAGUUGGUAGAUACAUCCCUAGUUAGGUUAUUUUCAAACUGUUACUCCCGAUCUGUAUCCCCUCCCUAGAGCACUUAGGAUGCAGCCUUGGUUAUUGGUACUUUGAAGCACUUGGCCAAAAACUCACCCAGUUGUAGAAAAGCAUAAAGCCUGAAUCAAACCAGACAAGCUGGGGGAAUGAUGAGGUCUGUUGUCAAGGUGACUGCAAAAAAAGAGGAAGGAAACACUCACUGCUGACAGCCAGGGCUGCAUCUUGUUCCUUCUGUUGGACUCACUUCCAGGUAUCUUCUUCUUCCCAGUAGUAUUACCCAAGUUUUAAAAAUGUACAAGGUCCAUGAACCACUAUUCCCUUGACUGCACCUGUGACUUUUUUCUACUUCUUGUUUUGUUAGUGCAGAACAUAAAAAAAAUCCACGCCCUCCCCUCCUCCAGCUCAAAAUUUUGUCUCUCAAAGUAGUCCCAUAAGGUGGUUUAAAGGAGUAAUUAUAAGAAUGCGCCUUAGAAUAUUUUCUAACUUUCCCUUCUAGUAACUGUGACUUCAUCUGAAUUCUUAGUGCAUGCCACCACUAGCCCUGUGUUGAACAAACCUAACCAAGAAGAAUACCACCUAUCUCGUGACCAUCUACUGUGAAUGCAGGAAUUAUCGCUGUGGUACCAUAUCCUUACCAUCAGCAAAUUCGUACUCCCUGGAUCUGGUGCAAUGUGCUGCUGCCUUUUAUUCUGGGCUUCGGGCACGUACACAGGUAGGCAAAUCUCCUGAAGGCCCUCACAGCUCCCUAGAUGACUCUGGCAAGCGAUAAGAGGGUUGAGUCCAGGACAUAACACUUCACAAGUUGUUACUGAACCCGUGAGCCAGUCUUGCAAAAUGCUUACUCAGUGGGCUCUGAGCCAGGAGGCAAUUUGAAGUUGGCCAAAGGCUCCUGUGACUGGUCUAGUGGCUCGCUCUAGGGCAGCCCCUGGAACUCAACACACCAGAUCUUUGAUUCCAUAGGCCCGGUUCCCUAUAUAUUUACUAAGUGCGUGGGAGAGCACAUUAAAACAGGGCCCUGCAUUAAAUAGGGGCUAGAUAAAUACUAUCCACUGAUUGACUUUCAGGAAACCCUUCUGGAAGGGCCCAAAGUCACUUAAAUCUGCCAACAGUAUUAAACAUCUAUUGUAUCCAGGGUCCUGCACUAAAUGCUGGAGACUGCACAGUCCUAGGUAUUGACUGGGGAGUUAGUUAAAACCCCCUGCUCCCAUAAUGAGGUGAAACCAUGAGUACUGCCUAGCCUGCUGGGCUUUCUAGGAGAAGGGGUAGGGGGUUCGCCAGUCACUACUCCAGGAGGAAAGGGACAGCAAGAGCCAGGCAAGAACCGCCCACCCCACAACCACUGUCAGUAAUGGUGUAGCCAGCUGCUAGUUGGUGACAUAAAAGGACAAUUGUUCAGUACAGGUAGGAGAUCCACUCACUACUCAAAGGAGCUUACAAUAUAGCAGACCAAGAAGGAGUUAGGCAGACCUGACCUUCUUGGGGACUUUGUAUAAUAUAUUUUAAUGUCUUGUCACUUCCUCAAGACUCUAAGCUCAUUGUAGGCAGGGACCACUCUAUUGUACUCUCCCAAGUGCUUAGUACAGUGCUUUGCACACAGUAAGCAUUCAGUAAGUACCAUGGAUGAUGAUUAUGACUUCAGAAAUCCAAACAGAAACUGAAUAUCGGUCUUGCCCUGGCUUCCUAGGAUUCAGAAGGAGAAUGGUCCUUUAGACUGUAAGCUUGUUACGGGCAGGGAGCCUGUCUACCAAUUCUGUUGUAUUGUACUCUCCCAAGUGCUUA
rnacentral:lncRNA from 1 species